UGGGGAAUCUUGCACAAUGGGGGAAACCCUGAUGCAGCGACGCCGCGUGAGCGAUGAAGCCCUUCGGGGUGUAAAGCUCUUUCGGCAGGGAAGAUUAUGACGGUACCUGCAUAAGCAGCUGCGGCUAACUACGUGCCAGCAGCCGCGGUAAUACGUAGGCAGCGAGCGUUGUUCGGAGUUACUGGGCGUAAAGGGUGUGUAGGCGGCUUUCUAAGUUUGGUGUGAAAUCUCCCGGCUCAACUGGGAGGGUGCGCCGAAUACUGAAAGGCUAGAGUGCGGGAGAGGAGAGUGGAAUUCCUGGUGUAGCGGUGAAAUGCGUAGAUAUCAGGAGGAACACCGGUGGUGUAGACGGCUCUCUGGACCGUAACUGACGCUGAGACACGAAAGCGUGGGUAGCAAACAGG
rnacentral:rRNA from 1 species